rnacentral:rRNA from 1 species
UACGGAGGGUGCAAGCGUUAUCCGGAUUCACUGGGUUUAAAGGGUGCGUAGGUGGGCAGGUAAGUCAGUGGUGAAAUCUCCGAGCUUAACUCGGAAACUGCCGUUGAUACUAUUUGUCUUGGAUAUUGUGGAGGUAAGCGGAAUAUGUCAUGUAGCGGUGAAAUGCUUAGAUAUGACAUAGAACACCAAUUGCGAAGGCAGCUUACUACACAACGAUUGACGCUGAGGCACGAAAGCGUGGGGAUCAAACAGG